rnacentral:lncRNA from 1 species
UUGAGUUGAUUUCGACCAGACCAUAGUGCAGAUCAACUCUGAUUCCUCUGUCAGUCGUGUCAUACCAAUAGCAUUUGAAUAAAAACACUAUAUUCUGCUCGUUAUGAUAUUGCAGUUCGACAACCUCUUCUAAUCUACCAUAGUAGUCAACUUCUAACUCACUACUAGUGGAUCCCUUAACACAAACACCGCUGUUGUAUGUCUUUCUUCCUUGCCCGUAU